UACAGAGGGGGGCAAGCGUUAUUCGGAAUUAUUGGGCGUAAAGGGCGCGUAGGCGGCUUGGCAAGUGGAUGGUGAAAUCCCUCGGCUUAACCGAGGAACUGCCGUCCAAACUGCUUCGCUUGAGACCGGGAGAGGUGAGUGGAAUUCCCAGUGUAGCGGUGAAAUGCGUAGAUAUUGGGAGGAACACCAGUGGCGAAGGCGGCUCACUGGACCGGUACUGACGCUGAUGCGCGAAAGCGUGGGGAGCAGA
rnacentral:rRNA from 1 species